rnacentral:rRNA from 1 species
AUGAGGUGGCGGGACGGGGUCGGAGGUAAACGGACCGGUCGGGGCGGAACCCUACGGCCGUCGUACAGGGGAGGUAACACUUAGAAAUAGGUGCUAAUACCGCAUAACGGGGGAAGCCGCAUGGCUUUUCCCUGAAAACUCCGGUGGUACAGGAUGGGCCCGCGUCUGAUUAGCCAGUUGGUAGGGUAACGGCCUACCAAAGCGACGAUCAGUAGCCGGCCUGAGAGGGCGGACGGCCACACUGGGACUGAGACACGGCCCAGACUCCUACGGGAGGCAGCAG